AAUUCUCCAUCUUUAUCAGUGCGCGGUGAGAUGGAGGCUAAAGAAACAUCUCCAGGCACUGACAAAGAUGGAGAAUUGAUGGCUCUGGCGCGGUGGAGUUCACCCAUGCAUAAAUCUGUUUGUCAUACUCAGCUUCUCCCCUUGGGUUUAAUAUUGUCCAUCAGUUGUUUACCACUGUGUUGCUUCCAAAGGGGAAACCAAUUGUGCUUCCUUGACUGUUCUGUCCGCCGGAGUUUUACACUGGUGUCAGACAAUACGUCAGUGGAAUGUAUAUUUUAUCUUGCACCCAAAAUCACCGGCUUAAACAUCAUACUGAUCCGGCUAAUUCUGUUUUGGGGAAUGUUGAUAUAGUGUAAUUGCUAUUUUAAAGUGGGUCUAUUCAAGACACGUACUUCCUCAUCAUUUGUACAAAUAAAACCAUGGCCACAGCCACAUGAAUAUUUUUUCUGGUGAAAUUAUAGAAAGUAAUGGUGCCAUAACUUUGCGUAAAAAAAAAAAAAAAACCUAUGUGAACCUGAGAUAUGUGUGGAAUUUGCUUUAUGAAUUCAUCUACAGAGGGGAUCAAUAAAAAGUUUUAUAAUCUU